GACGAACGCUGGCGGCGUGCUUAACACAUGCAAGUCGAGCGAUGAAGCACCUUCGGGUGUGAAUUAGCGGCGAACGGGUGAGGAACACGUGAAGAAUCUGCCUUCAACUCUGGGAUAACUCCGGGAAACCGGGGCUAAUACCGGAUAUGAGCCUUGAUCGCAUGAUCGGGGCUGGAAAGUUUUUCGGUUGAAGAUGACUUCGCGGCCUAUCAGCUUGUUGGUGAGGUAAUGGCUCACCAAGGCGACGACGGGUAGCCGGCCUGAGAGGGCGACUGGCCACACUGGGACUGAGACACUGCCCAGACUCCUACGGGAGGCAGCAGUGGGGAAUAUUGGGCAAUGGAGGAAACUCUGACCCAGCGACGCCGCGUGAGGGAUGAAGGCCUUCGGGUUGUAAACCUCUUUCAGUAGGGAAGAAGCGAAAGUGACGGUACCUACAGAAGAAGCACCGGCUAACUAUGUGCCAGCCGCCGCAGUAA
rnacentral:rRNA from 1 species